rnacentral:rRNA from 1 species
UACGUAGGGGGCGAGCGUUGUCCGGAAUUAUUGGGCGUAAAGAGCGUGUAGGCGGUCCGGUAAGUCAGCUGUGAAAGUCAAGGGCUCAACCCUUGAAAGCCGGUUGAUACUGUCGGGCUAGAGUCCGGAAGAGGCGAGUGGAAUUCCCGGUGUAGCGGUGAAAUGCGCAGAUAUCGGGAGGAACACCAAUGGCGAAGGCAGCUCGCUGGGACGGUACUGACGCUGAGACGCGAAAGCGUGGGGAGGCAAACAGG